AAGAUAUCACAGUUCAUGUUAAACAAGAUUUUGGUCGAGGUAGAAAUUUUAAUAUGGAACAAAGAGCAGUGAUUAAAUUUAACGCAAAACUUGGUAAAAGUGCAUCAGAAACAUUCCGAUUGAUGCAACAAAUUUACGGCAAUCAAUGUCUAGGUCGUACAGCUGUUUUUGAGUGGCAUAAGAGUUUUUUGGAAGGCAGAGAGACCCUUGAAGAUGACAAAAAAUCAGAACGGCCAAUUUUGGUUCGAACACCCGAAAUGAUUGAAAAAGUACGUAAUUUUGUUGCAAACGCAAUGCGUCACUAAAAAUGAUGGAGGAGGCUUUAAAUAUCAGUAGAGAAACGAUUCGAACCAUAUUACAUGAAGAUUUGGGUAAAACGAAGGUUUGUGCGAAGUUUGUUCCACACACAUUAAGAAGCGAUCAAAAAUCAAUGAGAAUCAAUCAUUCCAGAGACAUUUCUACCUCGACCAAGAUCUUAUUUAACAUGAACUGUGAUAUCUCCGUUAUAUGUCAACCAAAAUGAAUGAAACUUUGACAGAUAGAUAGGGAAAUGUUAAACCUUUCAAAUGCAUGUUUGAACGCACAGAUGUUGCCACUGGUUGCUGAGAUGUGGUUCGUGUCCGGGAACAUAUUUGUCGCACUGUAAGUAACACUCGCAAACCAAGUCGAACACAGCCCAAAUAUUGGGCCAAUUACGGCGCGCGACAUCGGCCAAGCGAGAUUAGAUUAUUAGCUGGGUUGUAAUUAAAAUAGAGAAUAAAUAACACAUUUACCAAUUGAAGAAGUGAUGUAGCGGGUAACGUAGAAGAUUCAUAAUCCAGAGGUCUCAGAUUCUCGAAUCCCUAAGUUUGCUGGAUGACUAUAAAGGGAGGAAAGGACAGUUUUCAUCGAUUUUUACAAGUGUUUUAAAGUGAUUUCGUCAUUUUGUUUCAUCCAAAUUGUCUUUAUUUAAAAAUGGCACGCAAUAUAAAUUAACGUGUCAUUUCUCACUUCUGACGAUUCCUACAUGGCCGCCGCGAUUAGUCAGGAACCUUAACGAAAGUAUCAAAACGCUCU